rnacentral:misc_RNA from 1 species
UGUCGCUUAUUCGAUCUUCGAGCAGAUCGUCAAGUAUGUGUGUAUGAAAAAGAAUCAAUCUUGUUCCCCGUAAAUGGAGUCGAUUUCAGUUUGAGCGGUCGUAUUCUAUUUGCUGGUUAUGGUGAUUAUCGUGUCGGUGUAUGGGAUUCGCUGAAAUGCGCCCGUCAUUCAGUACUUUAUGGACAUGAGAAUCGUAUUAGUUGCCUCCGAACUUCUCCUGAUGGAACAGCCGUCUGCUCGGCGAGCUGGGAUUGCACAAUUCGCAUUUGGGCUUGA